rnacentral:misc_RNA from 1 species
GAUGAAGAACGUAGCGAAAUGCGAUAAGUAAUGUGAAUUGCAGAAUUCAGUGAAUCAUCGAAUCUUUGAACGCACAUUGCGCCCGCCAGUAUUCUGGCGGGCAUGCCUGUUCGAGCGUCAUUUCAACCCUCAGGCCCCCGGGCCUGGCGUUGGGGAUCGGCGGAAGCCCCCUGCGGGCACAACGCCGUCCCCCAAAUACAGUGGCGGUCCCGCCGCAGCUUCCAUUGCGUAGUAGCUAACACCUCGCAACUGGAGAGCGGCGCGGCCACGCCGUAAAACACCCAACUUCUGAAUGUUGACCUCGAAUCAGGUAGGAAUACCCGCUGAACUUAAGCAUAUCAAUAAGCGGAGGA